rnacentral:rRNA from 1 species
GACGAACGCUGGCGGCGUGCUUAACACAUGCAAGUCGAACGGUGAAGGGGCCUGCUUUUGUGGGCCCUGGAUGAGUGGCGCACGGGUGAGUAACACGUGAGUAACCUGCCCCCUUCUUCUGGAUAACCGCAUGAAAGUGUGGCUAAUACGGGAUAUUCUGGGUCUGUCGCAUGAUGGGUCUGGGAAAGAUUGCGCCUUUGGGUGUUUUUGGUGGGGGAUGGGCUCGCGGCCUAUCAGCUUGUUGGUGGGGUGAUGGCCUACCAAGGCGGUGACGGGUAGCCGGCCUGAGAGGGUGGACGGUCACACUGGGACUGAGACACGGCCCAGACUCCUACGGGAGGCAGCAGUGGGGAAUAUUGCACAAUGGGCGCAAGCCUGAUGCAGCGACGCCGCGUGAGGGAUGGAGGCCUUCGGGUUGUAAACCUCUUUCGCCAGUGAAGCAGGCCUGCUCCUUGUGGGUGGGUUGACGGUAGCUGGAUAAGAAGCGCCGGCUAACUACGUG